AUCCAUGUCACGUUGAAACACCUGUUUCCGUACGAUCACCGAAGUUAAGCAACGUCGAGCCUGGUCAGUACCUAGAUGGGUAAACGUUUGGAAAUGUCAGGUGCU